rnacentral:rRNA from 1 species
UACGAAGGGGGCUAGCGUUGUUCGGAAUUACUGGGCGUAAAGCGCGCGUAGGCGGACGCUUAAGUCAGGGGUGAAAUCCCAAGGCUCAACCUUGGAACUGCCUUUGAUACUGGGGAUCUCGAGUCCGGAAGAGGUGAGUGGAACUGCGAGUGUAGAGGUGAAAUUCGUAGAUAUUCGCAAGAACACCAGUGGCGAAGGCGGCUCACUGGUCCGGUACUGACGCUGAGGUGCGAAAGCGUGGGGAGCAAACAGG